ensembl:antisense Gm37885 predicted gene, 37885
GCCCCACCCAUCCUCUGCCGGUACCUCAUAGAUGCCGAAGCCAAUGGUGUGCAUGUCCUCGCCCAUCUUCCUCUGCCGUCGCCGGUGCUUCUGGAUGAGACCCACCAGGAAGGUCCCAGGCAUCAGGCUUGGCGCCAAGCAUCGUUACCUACUGGGCCAUCUCACUAGCCUGUGGGGUGUGUUUUACCCCAGAGGGCCCAAUAGCAGAGUGAACGUGAGCUGGAAAAGGAAGGAGGGACCACGGACCGGACCAUGAGCUGAUCCAGAGAGUAAAAGAACGCCUGCAGCUGCCUCGGUGACCAGCAGAGGGCAGCGCGCGCCAGGCAGCUGCCGCCCUGGAGGCCCCACCCCGGACAGCCACGUGCUAGCAGGGGGCGUACCUCCUCGGCUCCGGUGACAGAGUACGCAUGUCCUUUCACCAACUUCUGUGAGUGCAUCAGCACCAGCACCAGCACCAGCACCUGAGGCUCCCGCUGCAGAGGGCUGACAUCCGGGGUGGACCCAGCACAACUUUGGGCCAGCUGGGUGAUACACAGCUAGGAUUAGAACCAGGAAGCCAUUCUUACCAGCCACCUGAUUUAUUCUGGGUGAGUUUCUACAGUUUUUCUACCCCUGCAAUGGGUAGCUUUGCCCACUGGCAGAAGCUUUUGGUCUUUUCAGCUAAGAGGCAAUGGGGGCCCACCAGAGAAGCAGAGUUCUUUCUCAAGGCCAGAGCAGACAGCCCCAGAAUGUCCCAGUUCACUUGCUCAGAAAGAGCAAUGACUGUCCUGUACCAGUACAUCAUGUGAACAGCCACCAUACCCAUAUUACCUCCUUGAAUUAAGAGCCAAAUUUGGGCCAAAGUCAUCCUUUUAUAGAACAGAAUGUCUAUUCAAAACAGUCCCCGAAAUAGCUCCCGCUGUUUUGGAGUCCAGGGCAGCAGAGGCAAGAUGGGGUGUUGGGGAAGGGCGUGGUUACUUACUUGGCAUAGGCUUUCUCCAGAAGGGCACUCCAGAACUCACUCCCUUCAGCUGAAUGCACAAAGAGCAGCUCCCCGUCCUUAGUGGGCAGCCUGUCGUCCACCACCACCUCCACCCACUCGCCAUAUUGCCAGAACUGCAGGGCAAGAGGGACAAGAUAGGGUGGCACUGAGACUCUGAGCCUUGGCCUCAUCCGGCUCUCCCCAGCCCAGCCCCUUGCUGUGGGUUCCUAUGAUGCUCUUCGGUGUCCUAUGUUAAGUGUGCCCCUCACCAAGCAAGAAGCCAGCGGAGCUCAUCUGUGUCUCCAAAGCCGCAUGCACUUCUUUAAAAAAAUAUCAUCUCUCACUUGCUAUCAUAAAAAGAUUUUUAACCUUUUAUCUCAACCCUCAAAUAAUAAACAUAAAAAAAAAACCCCU